GAUGAACGCUGGCGGCGUGCCUAACACAUGCAAGUCGAACGAAACUGAUUUCAUGAAACUUCGGUAGAUUGGGAUGAAAGUUGAGUGGCGACGGGUGAGUAACACGUGGGCAACCUGCCUCACGAGAGGGGGAUAGCAGUUGGAAACGACUGCUAAUACCGCAUGAUACAUUUGGGCGGCAUCGCUUGGAUGUCAAAGAUUUUAUCGCUGAAAGAUGGCCUCGCGUCUGAUUAGAUAGUUGCGGGGUAAGGCCCACCAAGUCGACGAUCAGUAGCCGGACUGAGAGGUUGACCGGCCACAUUGGGACUGAGAUACGGCCCAGACUCCUACGGGAGGCAGCAGUGGGGAAUAUUGGGCAAUGGACGCAAGUCUGACCCAGCAACGCCGCGUGAAGGAAGAAGGCUUUCGGGUUGUAAACUUCUUUUAAGGGGGGAAGAGCAGAAGACGGUACCCCUUGAAUAAGCCACGGCUAACUACGUG
rnacentral:rRNA from 1 species